ACCGGGGGGGCCUUGUACACACAUCGAAGUCUGACGGUCCACGCCGCAGGUGAAAUGAUGAAGGUUUUCUUCACCGUAAAGCUCUGUUGUUAGGGAAGAACAAGUGCGAGAGUAACUGCUCGCACCUUGACGGUACCUAACCAGAAAGCCACGGCUAACUACGUGCCAGCAGCCGCGGUAAUACGUAGGUGGCAAGCGUUGUCCGGAAUUAUUGGGCGUAAAGGGCUCGCAGGCGGUUUCUUAAGUCUGAUGUGAAAGCCCCCGGCUCAACCGGGGAGGGUCAUUGGAAACUGGGAAACUUGAGUGCAGAAGAGGAGAGUGGAAUUCCACGUGUAGCGGUGAAAUGCGUAGAGAUGUGGAGGAACACCAGUGGCGAAGGCGACUCUCUGGUCUGUAACUGACGCUGAGGAGCGAAAGCGUGGGGAAAAAAAAGGAAUUGAAUACCCUGGGUAGGUCCACCCCGUAAAACCAUGAGUGCUAAGUGUUAGGGGGGUUUCCCACCCCCUUAGUGAUGCAAGUAAACAGAAUUAAGCACUCCCCACCUGGGGGGAGUACAGGUCACCAAAACUUAUAACUCACAUGAAUUUUUAAGGGGGGGCCCA
rnacentral:rRNA from 1 species